rnacentral:tRNA from 1 species
UUAAUUGAAGCCAAUUUUUGGUAGUUUAUUGUUAAUAAUCUUUUUGAGUUUAUCUCCAGUUAAU